AGUUCUUACUUGAAUAAGAUCUAUUCUAUAGGCUCGUACCUUUGUAUCCUUAAGCACUAAGGAGACAGGAACUCAAGUCUGGUGGAUGAAUAGAGGCCAUGCGAUUGGAGCGUGAUUAAUGGCUUGAUGGUUCCAUAGAAUCACCUGAGUUGAAGAGGAUCAUUCUCGGUCAGCAAGCUGGCUAAGAUGGUCGUAUAGCUGUUGACAGACU